rnacentral:lncRNA from 1 species
UCUCUCUGUGUUUACAAAGUGCACCAACAACACUCCUUACAAAAAUUUCGACUAAACUCGAAACCCUAACUCAAAACUCAACUCAAUUGCUCUAAAAAGCGAUACCAGGAAGCCUCACGCUCCCCCUCUAUUUAUACCCGAGGUAGGCAGCCUAAAGCCACGAACCAAACUCAUACUAGGAGUCUUAAACACCUUAGGAAACCCUCUAGUACAAGAAACAAACUUUACAUAACCAAUCAUACCAAAUUUGGACUCCUUCCAAAUUCGACUCCGCAUCCCAUACACACACAAUAACUCCAUCGUAUGCCAUAUGGAAUCUCCAUCAACCACGUGCAUCAACUCUAGCCUAAGUAUUCCGCAUGAUCUCUGACCACCACGGACGUCGUCUUAUCCCCAAGCCGACUCCCGGUCCAUCACCGCAAAUACUCUCCCGAGACAUCGAGUCACCUACACAUGAAAUAAACAAAGAAACCAUAUUCCGAGACCAAGCUAUCUCCAACUUGACUCAUUAGUAGCAAACAACAGUAUUACGUAUAGUAUCCAUCUAGAAGCCAUAAUCAUGAAAUAAUCACGGAUAUCCAAACAAACAACCCAAAACCGAAACCGACACAGCGUCGGCCGGUCAGACCGCGGGCUGCGCCGGACUGACCGCGCGAUACACGCCGGUCUGACCGGCUCACACUGCCCGGUCUGACCAGUCACAUGAAAUAACAACACCUGCGAUUCACCUGUAAAUCCAAUCAUCUCCAAAACCACUUCGUGAAUAAAUUCCAAAUAACAAAACCAAUAAUCGCCGAUGCCAAUUGUUCAUAACAGAAUAAUAAUAAAAAACACCUUUGAUUUUACAAUCUCCCCCUUGAUGAACACAUUGGCAAACCCAUCAAAAAUGUUUUGGUGUUUGGAAAAAUAAAAACAAAAGUGGUAAAAAGCAUACUUUGUACAAACGUACACAUCGUGCUCGAAAAUCCAAAAGAAAACUUCUCCCCCUUUUUAAAAGAAAGAAAUUCCCAAUUGAACCUAAAACAUGCUCUUCUCAACAACUCUCCAAAAAUUCACCUUGCUUCUCCCAAAAAUCCAAAAAUUGUCACAUCACUUCUCCCCCUUUUGACAAUGAUUUCAUCAAGAAUAGGAAUUAUGUUCAUUAAUGUUCAAGAGCUUACCAUACAUAUAGCAUAUCAAGUCAUGUGUUGCAAUAAAAAGAAGAUGAACCCAUCUAUAAUAUAACAAGCAUGCAUUAAAGUAUAACCAUGAACCAAAGAUUCUACAAUUAAGCUUGAAUCAACAUCAAAAUUCAUGAUUUCAUACGAUUUAUAAUGCAACAUCUUAACAAGCACAUAGGUUGAAGAAUAAACACUAAACACAUAUACCUAUUGCAUUUAUCACUCUUUCUCAAAUAACCUUUAGCACAAAAUAACCAAGAGAAUUUUUUGAACCUUUUCUUUUCUUGACCCUUUUUUCUCAUAUUUUUCUCUUUUAUUCCGAGUACGUCCCUGUCGUCAAGAAUGUUUCCAGGGAUUCGGCACCCAUUAUUUUGCUCACAUCGAAUACGUCCUUGUCGUCAAGACUGUUUCCAAGGAUUCGGUAUUCAUUUUUUUUUCAUAUUUUUAUUCUCUUUUUCACAAUGAGCAAUUAAAGCUAUUUGAGGAAUAACAAAUCAAUAAAGCAUAUAUAUAAAGCAUUUAGAAAUCAAACCAUAUGCUAGCAUCAACAUUGCAUAUUUGCUUAAUUCAAGUAUAGAAUUUAAGUGUCAUGCAUCAUCUCCUUUAAAAGCAAAAUCUAAAUCUCAUGAAAAGACUAGAAUACAUACAAGCUAUGCUAGAGACAAAUAAACCUUCAAAGUAUUGCUAGCAUGCACAAGAAAAUACCAUAUGCAUAAACAAAGCUCUUUUUUUUUUAUCAAUUUUUCUCAUUGUCAUAUUUUUGCUUGAUAAAACCAUGAGGUACAAACUCCCUCUCAAACCAUGCCAAAAGGAUGAAUUAUUCCCAAUUCACCACGAAGAAAAGCAAAGCGAUUAGAAUCCAAAGGUUUAGUGAAAAUAUCAUCAAUUUACAACUUUGUGUCCAAAAACUGCAAUUUAACAUCUCCCUUCUCAACAUGAUCCCUCAAAAAGUGAAAGCGAAUGUCAAUGUGCUUUGUGCGUGAGUGUUGAACAGGAUUCUUAGCAAUGUUAAUAGCACUUGUAUUAUCACAAAAGAGAGGUACUUUCUCAAAAGUAAGACCAUAAUCUUUCAAAGUAGAUAAAAGCCAAAGAAUCUGUGAACAACAACUAGCAGCAGCAACAUAUUCAGAUUCAGCAGUUGAUUGAGCAACACUAGAUUGUUUUUUAGAAGACCAUGCAAUCAAUGAUGUACCAAGAAAAUGACAUGUUCCACUAGUACUUUUCCUAUCAAUUCUACAACCUCCAAAAUCAGCAUCGGAAUAUCCACUUAAGCAUAUAGAAGAUGAAGUAGAAUACCAAAUUCCAAACUCAAGUGGAUGAUUCAAAUACCUCAUUAUUCGCUUGACUUCUUGACGAUGUGAAGCACGAGGAGAAGCUUGAAAGCGCGCACACAAACACACAACAAAUUGUAUGUCUGGCCUAGAAGUAGUUAGAUACAACAAAGAUCCAGUCAUACUUCUAUAUUCCUUUUGAUCAACGGCUUCACCAUCUUCAUCAGGAUCCAACACAGCUGUAGAACCAAUUGGUGUUGAAAUUGGCUUGCAAUUCUCCAUCUUGAACCGUCUCAAAAGAUCCUUCAUAUACUUCGUUUGAUGCACAAAAGUACCUUGAGGUGUUUGCUUAAUUUGCAAUCCCAAAAAGUACGAUAACUCACCCAUCAUGCUCAUCUCAAAUUCCCUGCGCAUAGUCUCAGCAAAAUCUACAACCAAAGCGUGAGUUGAACAACCAAAGAUGAUAUCAUCCACAUAAAUCUGAACGAACAGUUGAUUAUCACCAUGCUUAAGAACAAAAAGCGUUUUGUCAACCUUUCCCAUUGUAAAACCUUUCGUAAGCAAAAAGUUCUUAAGCCUAUCAUACCAUGCCCUAGGAGCUUGUUUCAAACCAUACAAAGCUCUAGACAAUUUAAAAACAUGGUUGGGAAAAUCAGGAUUUUCAAAACCUGGUGGUUGUUUGACAUAAACUUCCUCCUGUAUAAAACCAUUUAGAAAAGCACUUUUCACAUCCAUUUGAUACAAUUUAAAACCUUUUGAAGCAACAAAAUCCAACAAAAGUCUAAUUGCCUCAAUGCUAGCAACAGGAGCAAAAGUUUCAUUAAAAUCCAAACCCUCAACUUGAGUAAAAUCUUGAGCAACAAGUCUAGCUUUAUUUCUCACAAUCAAACCAUCCUCAUUUUGUUUAUUUUUGAAAACCCACUUGGUUCCAAUAAUAUUAUGUCCAGAAGGUGGUUCAACUAAAGUCCAAACUUUGUUUCUCUCAAAAAUUUCAAGUUCUUCAUGCAUGGCGUUAAUCCACGAUUCAUCAGUUAAUGCACGUGACACAUCUUUGGGUUCAAAAGAAGCAACAAAUUACCAUCAUGAGUCGUUACCUUAGACCUUGUAGUCCGCUCACCUAAAUUACCAAUUAUUUGUUCCGGCAGAUGUCGUCGUUGAAUAUGCAAAGGAGCAGCAACUUUUGAAGUUGAUCCACGUUUUGUAUCAGUACUGGUCGAAGUAGUAAUCUCUAGAGGACCAUCUCGAUCAGCAUCAACAGUACCCGAUCCCGACGACCUUGGCCGGUCUGACCGCACAUCUUGCGCCGGUCUGACCGGAGGUGUGCCGGCGGUCUGACCAGCCGAGCCGACCUCGUCGUUGUCGCUCUCGUCUUCAAAAAUACGACCAUCCUCCCCCUGAACCUGUGACAGUGUACCUGCAAUAUCGGGUCUAGUACCUGGACUAGCCUCAUCGAAAGUCGCAAGUCUCAACGAUUUUGUUAGACUCCAAAAUAAGUACACGAUAGCCACGAGUAUGUGCGGGGUAACCAAGAAACAAUCCAUCGGUAGAACGUGCCUCAAACUUAUCCAAAUUUCCAGAUUUCAAGACAAAGCACUUGCAACCAAAAACACGAAAAUGUGAAACUUUGGGUUGAUGUCCAAAUCAAAGUUCAUAAGAAGUUUUUCCAAGUUUUGAUCUCAAGAAAACCCGAUUUGAAAUAUAACAAGCAGUGUUAACAACCUCAGCCCAAAAUUUUCUAGGAGUUUUAUAUUCAUCCAACAUUGUUCUAGCCAUCUCAAACAAAACACGGUUUUUCCUUUCAACAACACUGUUUUGUUGAGGAACACGAGGAGAAGAAAAUUCAUGUUCAAGACCUCUUUCGUUGCAAAAUUUUCAAAAGAAGCAUUUUUAAACUCACCACCAUUAUCACUUCGAAUUCUUUUCAAAGAACCAUGAAAUUCAAGAUCCAAUUGAAGAAACAAACCACGAAAGUGUUGAAAAGCUUCAUCCUUAGUUGCCAUAAAGAAAACCCAAGAAUAUCGAGAAAAAUUGUCAACAAUAGCCAACACAUACCACUUUCCUCCAACAGAUUGCACUCUAGCUGGACCAACAGUGUCCAUAUGUAAUAGCUGUCCCGGUGCAUCCGUCAUCACAGAAACAAUAGGAGCAUGUGAAGUAGAAACCAUCUUAGCAUGACGACACGGUGUACAAACCAAAUCAAGAUCUUUCUUAAGUUUAGGCAAACCACGAACAAGAUCCAAAUCACUUAACCUAGUGAGAUGAUUAAAACCAACAUGUCCAAGUCUAUGAUGCCAAAACAUCACAUCUUUAUCAAACUUAGCAACCAAACAUGUUAUCACAGGUGAAACAGGAUUUUCAAAAUCAACUUUAAACACUCUUCCAUAGCGAGAAAUAUUCAACAAAAAAUUACCACAAGAGUCAAAAACUUUACUUCCAGUUUUCUUAAAGUGAACCUCAAAAUUUUCAUCAACAAUUUGUGAAACCAAAAGCAAAUUGUACUUUAAGUCCUCAACCAAAGCUACAUUCUUCAAUUCAAAAUUUUCAUUUACCUUAACCAAACCUGUAGCGAGAACGGCACUUGUAGAAGCAUCACCAAAGAUAAUCGAUUCAGUCUUGGAUGCCUUCUUAGAGGGAGGAGAACCAAUUUUUAUCACCGGCCAUGUGCCGCGAACAACCGGAAUCCACGAUCCACAUGUUCUCCUUCCUUGCCACCAAAGCCUAUACAUAAGCAGAAGUCGAAGCCUCAGUACUGGAGUUAGAUGAUAAUAAAAACUUAGGAAUCCAGUACUGAGACACACGACCAGAAGAUCCAAUAGGCAUAUAUCCACGUGCAAAAUCAAUUUGAGAAUUUUCAGAAAAAUUUCUCCGAGGCCGGUCUGACCGAGGUACAGUGGCCGGUCUGACCGGUGUCCGGUCUGACCGAGGCUCUGCAGCUGUAACAUACUGAAAAUUUGCUAUUUUCUAAAUAUGCAUCAUGCUGAUUCUUAUGUUUUUAAUAACUUCCUAAACCUAAGAAAUUACAAUUAGAGGGACCUCCUAAAACUAACAUGCAUAAAAUCCAUGUCUAGUAUUUAAAAUCUUUCGUGCUUUUAUUCUAAAAUUGAUCUUUUUAGAUCGAGGUAUUCUCUUUGAUUUGAUUUUGCAUUUUAAAGCUUCUUUCGACCAAAAUUUCCUUAAUUCAAAUUUAGUUUGAAAAUCCUUUUUACUUUUGUGAAAUAUGGUCCAAGAAAUCCUCCAACACUACCUUUGAACCUAAAUCGAAGCAAUUCCAAUCUUAUUGGAAUUAAUUGUCAACCCAUCCUUUGAUUUCAAACCUAUUCUUAUUACCAAAUAUUCAAGUUCCUCCUUUUGAUCUAGCCACCAAUUUAAUCCCUAUGGCUUGAUUUCCUAUCCAGCACAAGAUUAACAAUAUUUUAAUGAUUGCUCUUGUGCUUAGAAAAUUCCAAUUUAUUUUCCUCAUCCAAAAUUCAAAUUCCCUCAAACUUCACCUUUAAAGAUGUUGCACUCAAAUAAACCAGAAAAUAUCUCUUCUGGAAAUUAUAUCCAAAUAUAAUUUCCUUUCAAACCUUCCUAUUCAAAUAUUCUCCAAAUUCGAAUCCCUUGUAAAACUUAGCCAUCCAAAAUUCCUUUGAAUCAAAUUAUUCAAACCUAUAUGAAAAUUAGAUUCCUUCCUUUUGUUUUUGGGCCGAAUUCUCCUUCUUUCUUACUCGGCCCAGGCCGGCCCAGUUAGCUGAGCCAACUCGUCUCUCCCUGUGGGCGCCGCCACCACCGAGCACCGUGGCCGCGUGUGGCGCGCGUGUACGCGCCGCCGCCGCCGCCCACAGCGCUUUGCUGCCGCCGUCGUCUUGCCUUCACCGCUAAGCAUCAGCCGCUGACGUCAGCCGCCACCUCACAUCGCUGACGCCAGCCACUGCACCAAACCGACAUGAUCGACCAAUCAGAGUUAGAGCCGGCGUCGAGUUCUUCUUCUCCACCCAACCGGCGUCGUGCUCUCCUUCUCUUCCUCCUCUCCGAAACCGCCUCUAACCACCGCCUUUCCUCGCCUAUAUAUAGCCGAAGAGGCCCCGUUUCCUUCCCCAUAGCAGAGCUCCUCGAGUUCUCUUCUCUCUCUCUCCGGCCAUGUCCGGCCAUUGCCGCCACCACUCGAUCUCCCUCACCGGUGCAUUACGGACCAAACCCUCGCGCCACCGUGCUUGCCUCGACGAGGUGAACCCAUUUUUCUAGUUUCCCCUUUCCCUUAGUAAUCCUAUAAGCCACUAUAGCCACUUCUUUUAUCGCCGGAGCAAAGCUUUUGUCUCCACCGUUCCGGCCUCCUCCCUUGUUCCCUUCGCCUGCCACUGCCUUUCCUAAGUGCGCCGUGCGCGGGAACACGCGCCGCCGCUGACGCCGCCGUCCCCCAUCCACCAGAGCGCCGGCAGCCCGCUCGCCUUCCCCUCUUCCUCCUCUCGGUUCUCUGUGAAACAGAGAGAAGAGAGAAGACGGGAGGAAGAAGGAGGAAAAGAAAAAGAAACGGAAAGGCUAUAUGACUGUCGCAUGUUUUUGUUGGGCUGUAUCAGUCGUUUUUUUGGUCCCUUGGAUUUUGUUUGAGAUUCGUGCUAUCUAGACUUUUGUUUUCUUUUGUAUGUGGGCUUUUGAUUAUUGUAAGUUCGGGCUUCCAUACGUGGGCUAAAUGGGCUUCUUUUUUUUUUACAUUUUUGUGGGACCCACUUUGUGUUGCCGAUAGAGAAAUUUUUUUGUGAGAGUGUUAAUGGUGGGACCCACAUACACUAUUCAAAUUUUGAAAUCCGCACCGGAGAGAGAGAUUGUCUGAAUCAGACUAGAGAGAGAGUGUGAGAGAUUCAUUUUGCUUUUUGCCUUUUUCCUCGUCGUCUCGUCCGGCGAUUUCGGCGGAGAUUUCGUCGGCGACUCCGGGAGGCGACGACGCUGCGUAAGCUACGCCGCGGCGUGGAUUCGUGCAGGCUACGUCGCGGCGGUGAUUCCACUGGAGUUUGCGGUGUGGGCUUCUCCAUCUUGUCCUCGAGCUCCUUCUCCUCUUUUUCUCUGGUGAGUAUGUUUUGAUUCUUCUCCAGCUUCAUUUGUUAGCUUGCUGCUCGAUUCGUUGUUGUUUUGCUCCGCUAGUUGUGCUCCUUUUGCCGAUGGAGAGAGAGAGUUAUAGAAGGAGAGGUUGACGAUUUUGUCGUCUCGUUCUCAUCGUCUCCGGCGACGCGGCGGCGAUUUAGCGAGGCGACGAGGCUGCUCUUCGGCGAGCCGCGCCGUCGAUUGCGCAAGAUUAUUCCAGUGGCUUUCCUUUUUGUUUUUUUUCCUUUUUUGUUCAUUUCCAUCUCCUAUUUAGCAUGCUACAUGUUGUGUUUCGUUGAUUCUGUAGUACUAGUCGUUCUAGUUUUCGUAGAUCUGAGCACCUUUUGUUUCGGUGUUUGUUUCAUUGAAUCCCCAUGAUUCGUGUUCGAUUUUGCUUUUGUGAUUUUUUUUAGGUUUCUGUGAUAUAUUUGUUCAUAAAUUUGUGCUAUGCGAUGUUCUAGAAAGUUUCGUUUAUGUGAUGUGUGAUGUGUGAUCUGUGAUAUGUGAUAUGUGAUUUACGAAUUGUGCUCUGUGAUCUGUGAUGUGUAAAGUUAGAUCUAGUUUUUCCCAUGGGAAUUUGAGUUGAAUCUAUAGUUGCUCCCUUGUUCUCCGGAUGUUAGGUUGUGAUUUGUUGAAUCUGCGAGUUGCUAUUUUAGUAGAUGCGUGUGAUUUGUUUUGAAUGAUGUUUAUGAAGAAGUUUGCUCAUGUUUGGAUUUAUAGAAGUUUGUGUUGCAUUAUUUUGUCUCUCUUACUAUUUGUACUUUAUUUGUAGUCUUCAACUAUUUGUUUAGCUUGCUAGCUGAUGAAUUAUUGUUAGCUGUAGAUCUGAUAGUGAAUUAUUGCUGUGAUUUAUGUAUUGAUUAUGUUUCUAUUUUCCCUGUGUGCUAUGCAAUGUUCUAUUUCUCAUUUCAUUUUUUUCCAUUGCUUAUGAUAUGUGCAUCCUUAUAAUAACUCCUUGUGCUUUUUUUUUUGUCUCUCUCCCUUUGUUUUAAUUAUUAGAUGGGUCAUCAAAAGAACUGUUGUACAGAUUCAGAAACUUUGCAUCAUGAUGAUGUGUGUGAUUUAGUUGUGUGUUGUAUUACUAUUGCUACAUAAGUACUAUAUCCACGUUGUAUUUUGUUUUCUAGUUCUUUGUGUGUACUCAAAUGUAAGCUAGAAAUAUGAAGCCUGAGAUAUUGAUCUGAAGUGUAGAUCAAUAUAGGUUUUAACUUAUAUAGAUCAUUCGAUUCCUAUAUAGACAGCCCCUUAAUUUAAUUUCUGUUAAGUUAGGGCAGGCAUGCAGGUUAAUUGAUUUUGUUACGCUAGUUUAUUGAGAACUUUAUGAUCUAUGCAAAUUUGUUAGCCUUGUGGGAUUUGGAUGUCUUUUUGUAGCUGUUCAUAAUGUUUGUAGUAGACUGGAUUACACUCUAGUGCAAACCCCAUUUUUGUUAUUGGACUCGUGUUUAUGUACUUAGGUCUAACAUGUCUUCCCCUUUGGGGAUUUAGACGCCAUUUGUGUCGGUUCUACUGCUAAUGUUUGUAGUAGACUGGAUUCAUUGGAUUGCGUGCCUCUGCAUAGACCAACUGUGGAAUGGUCAUGUUCCCUAGUGUGAAUCAGGUGUACAGGGCUUAAGUUUGUGAGAUUGUUUGACUUUUUAUCAUAGUGUGGACCUCUUUGCAUAUAUUUGUGAGGACAUGGAGAUAUACUAUAACAUUUGACUUACAAGUUGAAAGUACUAACCAACGUAUAUAUAUUGUACUGGGAGUUAAUUUUGUUCGUUUGCCAUGUUUAAGUAAUGUUCAUUUUUUUCUUGAAUAAAGUGGUCAAUUUCUGAGGAAUUAUAUAUCUUUUUUUAAUGCAUACCUUCACUUAUUUUAUAAUUUAUAGUCUGCCAAACUUUAUUGAUUUUUUAUUGCUAUUUUUAAUAGAUGGUUCACCAAAAGCGUUCAAAAUUGGAUAAUUGUAGCCAGCCCAUAAGUGAAUCUGAUGAUAUUAAUUCUGAGUCUUUGCCUGCUAAAGAUGAUGAUUACAAUUGUGAUUCUGAUGAUAACUCAGCCAGUCAUGUAAGUUUAUUUUACAUUUCAAUUUCAUUGAUUUGUAAUAUAGUUGUUUUUUUCAUUUCCAUUUGUAAAUUCAUGAAGAGUUUGCAAUUAUACAUUCUCAUUGCUUGGUAGCCAAUGUAAUAGUAUGACCAAUAUUUUCUUGUUUUAUUUGUUCUUGAAUUGUCAUGUUGUUCCAAGGUCAGAAUAGUAUCCAUUAUUCUUUCAUUAUUUUUUUUCAUUAGUAUGCAGUUGUAGCUCUGUUGUAGCCAUGUUUCAUAGCACAUUUGCAAUGUUUUAAUUGUUUAAUAUGUUUUUUUAGGAUAUGGAUGUUUCACAACCACAUGUAAAUGAAAUUUCUACAAAUGAACUUCUGAAAACUUUGAAAAGGAAACUCAGUAAGUCUAAAAGAAGUGAAGAUGAUAACAUUAAGGUAAUUAUUUUGUUUGUUAUUUUUCAUUUUAUAUUUUUCCAUCAUUCUUGUUUUUAAUUUUGAAUUUUUUUUAAGAUGAAAAGGUCUGAAUCUAUUGAAUUGGACAAUGAUGUAAUGAUAAAUCAGGUUCUACGUGAUAUCAUACAAAGGGAUCAAAUUAUCAACAGUUUGAAAAAAAAGCUUAAUAUUCAUCACAACAUAGGUGAUCAAAAUUUGAAGGUUAGUUUUUUGCAAUGCCCUUUUAUAUCUAUGUUUGGUUUUUAUUUAUUGAUUAAAUUGUUUUAUUUUCUUUUUGUCAGGACAAAAAUGUUGACACUGAUUUGAAGUCUGAUGCAUUCUCUAGAUUCUCAGUCAAAUAUUUCUCAAAAGUUGAUUCUUUAAGUCCACAUCACAAAACAGUCAUUGAAAAUUCUUGUUUUCAAAGCAUGCUGCUAUUUGACAAGUGUUUUGUUCCCAAUUCUUUUGCUCUCUGGAUUGCAAAACAAGUAGAUGUGAACUGUUCUGAUAUAGUUUUGGGCCAAAAACUUAUUCCAUUGAACAAGCAAUUUGUCCAUGUUGUGCUAGGCCUCCCUGUUGGUGGUAGUACAAUCCAUUCAAAAUUUGAUUCUGGCAAACAAAAGAUUCUUCAGAUUUUUGGGAAAACUUCUAUUCCUUCUGUCAAGUUCUUUGGAGAAAAGUUAAUUAAAAAUGAAGAACUUCCUGAUGAUCAAAUUCUCAUCUGCUUUAUGAUUGUUUCCUUGAAUUGCUUUCUUUGUCCAAACUCUUCUUUGAUUCCAAGUACAAAAUACCUAAGUGCCUUUGAAGACAUGGACUUAAUUGAAAGUUUGGACUGGUGCAAGUUAGUUUUUGACUGGUUGAUGGAACACAUUAGCAAGAUUGAGAAAUCAAAAACUUUUGGUGGUUGUUUAUUCCAUUUAGCGGUAAAUUUUUUUCCCUCCAUUUAUGCUAAUUUAUAUUUUGUACUAAAUGACUAUUCAUUUAAUUUCUAUAUUCAAUGUUUCAUAGGUUAAUUACCUGGAUUUUCUCAACUUUGGUUCACAAAAAGUAUUACUUGAUACACCAAGAAUAAAAGUUUGGAAAAGAUCUAUGAUUAAGGACUAUUCCAAAUUUGAUAAAAUAUCUGAAGGAGUGUAUGGAAAAAGACCAGUCAAUGAUAUUGCUUCAACUUGUUACCCAAUGGUAAAUGUUCAGUUUUUUUUUUCAAAUUUUUUAUCUUUUUAAGUUCUAAUAAAUUUUCUUAGAUUGGAAUUGAAAAUUCUGUUUUAAUUUUUUAGGUGAAUAAUAGCUCAUCUUCAUUUGCUGAUAUGCUCAAAAGUUCUGUUGGUGAUCUGUUGCCAAGUGAUGUUCAAGACAAAAUUUGUCAUUUGCUCUGCUAUCAUUUUGGAAAAGAAGAUGAAAUCUUUGAAGACAAGGCUAAGAAACUUCUUAUAGAUGUUCUGUUGUUGUUAGCUGAUUGUAGUUCCAAUUAUCCUACUCAACCUGCUGCACAUGAAAAUUCAGGUUAUUACUUUUAAUUUACGAAUUUUGUUGUUUAUUUUAUUUUUAAUUUUUUUCCAUUCAUAUGUCUUGAUUUUUUUUAUAAAUUUUAAAUUAAGGAAUUGAACCAGAUCAUGAACCAGUUGAAGAAAAUAAUGAUGAUGUUAAUCAAGCUGUGAAAAAAAAUAACAAUUUCACCUCAUCUCCAAAGGUACAUUGUUUUCUGUUCUCAUUUCAAUUUUUUUUAUUCUAAUAGUCAUGUGAAUCAUUAAGCAUUUUUUUGUCCUUUUAUUUUUUUUGUAGGGAAACAGUAAAACAAUACUAGAUGAUGAUAAGUUGCCAAUUCCAAAUGAAGAAUUUAAUCCUGUGAAUAAGUCUACCAUUUUGAAUUCUUCAGAAGAGGUUUUUUUUUCAUUUUUAUUUCAAUCAUUAUAAUCUGAAUAUAUAGAACUGUAAUUGUUGAUAGUUUUUAACUGUUAUUUUUUAUCUGUGCAGAUUAAACAUAUCAACAUUGAUGAAAUAAUGACAAAGUUGAACAAAACAGGUUAUUUUUUUUUCUAAAUUUGUUAAUCUGUUUUUUUAAAAAAUUAAAUAUGAAUUAUUGAUGUUUGUGCCUAUUUAACAUUGAAGGUCAUGUUCCUAUUAAUCCACCAGAUGAAACAGAGAAAAAUUCUGCCUUGACUGGUAAAUUUUUUUUUAAUGGAAUCUCAUUUGUUUUUACUCGUAUAUCUUUAAUUGUUCUAGCAUCAAAAAAAUUGAGUUAUUGUAAUAUUUCAUUUCUUUUGUCAUGUGAUUUUAGUGCACUGUACUAUGGUCCUCUUACUUUUUGUUGCCAUAUUUUUUGUUUCUAAUUCUUAUGUUAUUGCUAUAGCUCGAAACAAUCAAGUUUUUCAUGAUCAACCGUCUUUUAAAAUCUGGGAUUCUGAUGAUGACCUCCAUCAUGAAAAUGAUGAUUUCAAAAAAGAAAUUACACCUGCUCAUCUUGUAGAUUCAUAUCAAGUUAUUCCUGAUUCAUACUCCCCAAAUCCUGUUUUAAGAAAUAAGGUACUUGUGAAGUAACUUCAAAUUUCAUAAGGAAUACUUUUUUAGAACAUUAUAUUGAUUUAUACAAAUCUUGCAGAUCACUCCAAGAAAGUUGUCUCAAACUUUUGCUGCUGCUGUUGAAAGCCCAAUAAUCUGUUCAGACAGUCCGGUAAUUCUAACAUUAAUUUCUUUCUUUAUUUCUUCUGUAUAUACAAACUAACUUUCAUUUGUUAAAUUUUGAAAUUUUAGGAUAAGAUGUACAUGGUGACACUUGAAAAUUCAACUUCUCCUAAUGCUUCUCUCAAUGAAAACAAAGAAAAUGAAAAAGGUUGUCACAUCAUAAAGGUAUGAAUAAUCUCAUAGUUUAUUUUCAUUGAUGUUCCCUUUUUGAAAUUAAAUGGUGUUUAAAAAUUUUUCUAAUUCCAUUUUUGCAUUGUUGUUCUCCAUAGUUUUGCUGUAAUUCUUGUAGGUUACAAUGUAUUUCAGUUCUAGUUAAUAACAUACCUUCUUUCUUUUUUUAUUCCAAAAGGUUUUUCUUCUCACUGCUUAUUCAUUUCUUUUUAUUCAGUUUAUAAUCUCAAGUUUGUAAGUUUGCUGUUGAACAUCACUAGUUUAUUUGCUGAACUGUUAUUUCAUAUUGAUAUUUCAAAUAUUUCAUGCCCUGUACCUUACUUUUAUUUAUCAUUUUUCUGUUCUGGUUAUAAGCUAAUAAUUAUUAUUUUUUAUUUCUAGUUAUUUUGAUUUUCUUUUUUUAAUGUGUUUCUAACUGUACUAUUUAAUUUAUUUGUUAAAUUUCAAGAUUCACCUGAUGUUGUUUUUAUUGGUGAAAAGAAAUUCUCUAAGAAAUGUGCUGAUAUUUGAAACAAAACCAACAUGAUGUACAAUAAAAUGAAUAGAAUUCAGUUGGAUUCUCAGAAACAAAACUUCAAAACCUUUGCUAGUCCAGAAAGAGUUUUGUUAUGAAACAUGAAGAAUUUCAAUCCAAGUACUUCUGGAACAAAACCAAUUCAUCACGAUCUUAGAAGGGUAAUCAAUCCCGCAAAGUAUUGCACAGAUCCUUAUACUCCUCAAAGAUCAAACUUCACAGUCUCACAAUAUGAAAGACAAAUUUAUAAUGCUGUCUGCACUCUAUCAACAAGCAGAUAUCAAGAGUAAGUACUAUUUUGUACUUUUUUUUUCUAAUAAUCUUCAUUUUCAAUGUAUGAUUUGUAAUUUGAAUUUAUUUGUAUUCUGAAUGUAGACGACAUGCAAUUGAAAUUGAUGGUGUUCACUGCAAAUUCAGUUCUUUUGGAGGAUCAUUUAAUUUUGGACAUGAAGUUUCUAAUUUUGUUGUCUCUGUGUUCUGCCGAUAUUUGUUUCAUUUAUCUCACCCCUCAAAAUCCAAAAAACAUUAUUUCUUCUCUUCUAUUGGAGUAAGUUUCUUAAUUUCUGUUUUAUUAUAUUUAUAAUUGAAAACCAAUUUUUACUAUAUGUUUAAUAUUUAAAUUAUUGAAUACACUUGUGCUAUAGGAUGAUCUUCUAAAGCAUCCAUCAAGAACUGAUUUCUCAUCAGUUAGGAAAUGCUUUGAUGGUGCAUCAAAAGCUAGACCUAUUCAAUCAUGUGAAAUGGUUUGUGAAUUUGUAAAUUACUUGUCAUAUUUAAUUUCAUAUUUCCUUUUACAUUUAUAAUUUAUUUUAUUUAAUUGUUUCAACUCUUCUUUCCAAUUCUCUACAAGCGCCACUGGUUUGUUUUUAUUGUUCAUCUGAAAGAUGAAAUGUUUGUCUUUCUUGACUCAUUACAUGAAGAAGGUUCUGAAUAUCAAGAUGAAGUUAAGAAUAGAUUGGUCAGUUUAUUUUCAAAUUUUUAAAUAUAUGUAUUACUGUUCAAUUUGUGAUUUGGAAUUUAUAAUUACAGAGUUUUCUUUUUAUGUUUUGUAGACAUCCAAUUUUGCACUUGCUUGGAAUUCCAUUAUGGAAGAAUAUCAAAUCAAUUUUGAUGCUUUCAAAAUUGUAUAUCCACCAGUACCUCGCCAAAAUAAUCUGUAAGUUGUUUUUCUUUACUGUAACUUUUAGUCCAAUAAUAUUUUUUAUUUGUUUGUUUUUGUUGGUUAGAGUUGUACAGAUGCCCAAUUGUUCUCUUGUUGACAGGAAUCUUGUAUGUUCUGUUGGUCAUUCAGAAAUUCUUGACUGUUCUGCUUUUCUAAUUGUUGCAUAACCUGUUUGUUUUGCUGUUAAUGCACAAUUUUAGUUUGUUUGUUAUGAUUAUCAUUCAAAAAAUUUAGUUCCUGUUUGUCAAUUGUUUCAUUCAGAAUUACUAGAUGGGAUAAGAGCCUGUUUCUUAGUACAACAUGGACUAGAACUGCAAUAGAUUUCAUUAGUAAAUUUACAGAGUAAAUAGUAUGACCAUAACUGCAUUAGCUUUUUUUAAUUUUUUUUGUUUUUUUUAUUUUUUAUGAUAAGUAACUGUGGUUACUUAUGUCCUUUUUCUUUUUCCUAGUUUUGAUUGCGGAGUUUUUACUCUAAAAUACAUGGAACUAUGGGGUCCAAGAGUUCAGCUGACAAACCAUUUCUCUCAAAAAGACAUUCAAAACAUUAGGAUUCAAUAUGUCAACCGUCUUUUCUUCCAUCCAGACAAUUCUGUUCUCGGUACAGGAACAAAGAAACUAGUGAUUGACUUUGCUCAGGUAAAUUUUUUUUAGAAUCAUUAUUUUUUUCACAAUUUUGUUUUUUAUUUAGUGCUUAUAUUUUUAUAUCUCUUUUUAUUUGUAGGGAAAUUGAUUCUGGAAUAAAUUUUGUUUGUUCAAAUAUGACAGUUGACAACUUUUGCAGGGCUACAACUGUACAUAAACUCAUGUGGUAGAUAAAAUGCAAAGUAGUUCAUAAAAUGUAGUUGAUAUAAGAAACAAACAUUUAAGUACAAACCAGUGUACAUGUUCUGGAAUAUUACAGAAACUUAUGGAAUAUGUCUAUUUCCAUUGUAUUCAAGUAAACCUCUCUCUAUUUUUAGUCAUUUCCAUUUCUAUUCUUUUGUGCCACCCCUUUUUGAUGAAGAUGAAUUUAUCUUCUUUUUGCCUUCUAAUUCAGCCCCAGAAUUAUGCUUCUCCUGUGAUAUAUCUUGUUGCAAAUCUUUUCUUUUGUUUGAAACAUCUUUCUUUUUCUGCUCUACACCAUCCUGCAACAAAUAAUAUCUUUCUUUAUUACUUUUUUUAAAAAAAUUCAAUUCAUAUGGAUUUGUAAUUUUUGUUACCUGUUCUCUUGUAUUUUUAACCUUUCUUCUCUUCUUCCUUGGCAAGUCAAACUCAACGUGUUUCAGAGGGCACGUUGGAAAUGUGUGAUCUGUCCUCUGACAAUGACUGCAAUGAUAUAGUUCUUUUUGCUGUAUUUCUUCCCUGAUUGUCUUGUAUCUUUGAGCUGGCCUGCCUUUGGAUUUUGCAAUAUCUGGAUCCAACAAUAUUUCUUCUGUAUUUUCCUCAGAUUGUUGAUUGCCUUUUUCAUGUGAGUUCAAAUUGUCUUCUGCAUUUAGAUCUGAAUCAUUGAUCUCCUGCUCAGCAUCUUUAUUUGAACACAUUAAUUCCAAUUGUUUAGCAAUUUUGUCCAUCUCUUCCACUGCAAACUGGAAAGUUUCAUUGCUUUUCGAUCCAUUUGAUGCUAUUUCUGCACUUUUCCUUGACAAAAUGUUGAAUCUCAGGAUUGAGCUCUGUGCUAAAGGUAUAUUUCCAUUGCCUUUUCCCCUAAGACCUUUGUACUCUUUUUUUGUCCAUCUUUCAAUAAUAUAUUUUUCUGGUAUCUUCAUUGCAUUGAGGUGGAGCAUUACUUUCAAUACAUGGCAGCAUAGAAGUCCAUCUUUCUCAAACUUUGAGCAAAUGCAGUUGAAAUCCUCUUUUUCCAAGUCCACAAUAACAAGGUACUUCCUGCUUCUGAUUACUUGAAUAUUUUGAUUCAAUGCCAAAAAAACUUCAUAAGUUUUGAACUUCUCUACUUUAUUUAUUUGAAAUCUAGUUGUUCUUUUCAACUCAACUUGAAACUUGAUGAAGAUUUUGCGAUUAUACAUUCUCAUUGCUUGGUACUCAAUGUAGUAAUGGGACCAAAGUUUGCUUGGUUUCUUUGUCCUUGAAAUGUGAUAAUCAAACUAUUCCAAGUUUUGAAUUGUAUUCAUUACUCUUUCAUACUCUAUCAUGAAGUUUGUAAUGCUGUACUGUGGACCAACAUUAUUCUUAAACCUUGAGUUAGUCCCUUCACUGAGAGCUGUGCUUUUUAUAAAUGGACAAAAAUCACCCUUAAAAUACACUGGAAUAAAUCUUUUUCUAAUUGACCACAUGUGCUUUAGAAAAUUGAUAUGCUGAACUUCAAAGCUGUCAAUCAUUUCUUGCCAUAAAUACUCAAAUUCUUCUUCUGUAACUGAGUUAUUUAUGAUGUCUUCAUACUCAUCAUACAACCCUUCUUUUGCUUUGAACAAAUUUCCAGAUCGAUUGAAAGCUUUCUUUACAAUAUGAAAGAAGCAAUUUCUGUGCUUUGCAUUUUGAAAUACUUGAGCAAUUGCUGAUCUCAUUGCUCCAUCCUGAUCAGUAAUGAUUGUUUUUGGUUCUUUUUGUGACAUAGCUUUCAAAAAAGUUCUGAACAGCCAUUUAAAUGUUUCUGAAGUCUCAUCAUGCAAAAAUGCACAACCAAAAACAAUUGUGUUUCCAUGUCCAGAAAUUCCAACAAAGGGAGCAAACGGGAGGUUGUAUCUGUUGGUGAAAUAUGUUGUGUCAAAACUCACAACAUCACCAUAUUUCUCAUACCACUCCCUCGAUCUCCCGUCUGUCCAAAACAGAUUUUUCACUUUCUUGCUCUCAUCCAAAUCAAACUCAUAAAAGAAAUGUGGAUCUUUUUCUUUUUUCCUUCUGAAAAAUUCUAAAGUUUUCAUCAUAUCAUUGCUGCUUGUCUCCUUGUUAAUUGUGGUUCUCACAUUGCUUAUAUCUUUCUUCGUAUAAGGCAAAGAAGUCAAUCAUCCUCUUAGAACAGAUAAAAUCACAAUCAUGUGCCUUGUUGGUAUAUUACAUUCCUUCAAGGUCCUUAUGAGCAUUUUUUCUUCUGUAGUCAUGUGUUUGUGUGAUUUGAGAAAUCUCACUUCAUCUCUUGGACUUAGUUGAUGAUUGUGGUCUAAUUGUACCCUUGAAAUAUUCCAAAUCUCAUUCCUCUCUGAAAUAACCAGAGCACACUUGCAAUCUGUUGCAUCAUUUUCAUUUGUAUUUCUUUCCAUUCCUUUUCUUGCUUGUUGUGUGGUAGUUGUGAGCCCUGACAAUAGAAAAUCUAGCCAACAGAGCAUAGAAGUUAAAGAAUUCAUGUGCUUCUGUAAUAGUCUUAAAUUGUGUUCCAACUCUUGGUAUAUAUCUGCUAUCAAUUGCUGCAUUAUUGCCCUUUGUAGCUUCUUCCUGUUCAUUCUCUACGAAAAUAUUUAUGUCUUCUUCUGUCAGCUCUUGUUGAUUUGUUUCAGAGUUAUCAUUUGGAUUAUUGUCAUCAUCUCUUGUUCCUUGAACUGAAGUACAUCGAUGAUUAUCCAUUGAGCUUGGUUCCUGCAAAAAAAAAGCAGUUCCAUUAGUUUCUGAAAUUAAUUUUCUAGCCUAUUCAUUACUAAUCUGAAUUAUUCAAUUUAAUUUUUUAAGAAAUAUUAAUGUUUGUACUCUUUCUUUUGCAGACUAUGAAACUUCAAUCAUCAAUCAUUGUUAUCUAGAGAAAAAGGUACAAACAACAAAAAUUACCUUUUCACCAUCUAACAAAUUGAAUAUAUCAAGAUUCCAAUUAUCCAUUGCAUCCUCUUCAUUACUCUCAUCUUCUUGGAAUUUGAAUUACAUUACAGUUAAAAUUUACUAAAAUUAUCAUAAUUUUUAAUACUACAACAGGAAGUAAUACAUCCAAGACAACAUGCCUCAUUUGCCGCAUCAUUAUUCCAUUCUUCAAUAUUAGCAUCAGUACGAUUUGUUGUUAAUAUCAUUGAAUUCUGCAAAACAAAAUUUUUAUAUCAAUACUUAUUUGCUUUUGAAUUUGAAUUAUUAGAUUCAAUUAAAUAAUUAAUAUUUCAUACCUGAAAUGCACUUGGACUCGCAACAAAAGUAGAGUGUGCUGAAUUUUGUUCCUGUAAAUUCCAAUAAAAACAGAAAUAUUACAACUAAAUUAUAUAUGAUAUUCAAAUAUUGUUUUUCUUACCUGCAUAUCAGAAAUCGUAGGCUGUGAUGAUAUGAUUUGUUCCAUUAAGCUUGUGUAUGACAUAUUUGCAACCUGCAAAUAAAUUUUCAUAUAGUAUUUUGACUACCACCUUCAAAUUUUUCCUUUAAUAGCAAAAACUUUGUAAUAUGAACUUACUGAAUUCAUUGAUCCGAAAAGAGAUAAUUCAUCAUAUGAAUACUUGUUGCUGUAAUCAACAAAUGCUUCUGUCAUACUUGCUGAAUUAUCCAUACUUUGCUUUUCUACUGUUGCAUCUUCUGCUCCUAAUCCAAUAUGAUCUGUUAUAUUUGCAAUUAAAGUAAUUGUGAUCAAAUUAUAUAUAGGUUCCAGUCAAACUGUAUAACAAUCAAGUUGAAGUUUAAAAUUAUUCUUAUUCUGUUUCAAAUUGACUGUAAUUUUUGCAUUUUGUGUUUUUUUACUGAAGGAAUUAUGCAUUUGUUCAAUUCCAUUUUGAAUUGUUACCUGUGUUUGGUUCAUCCAGAGCAUUGCUUCUUCCUACCUCAUUACCUGUUAUGCCUGCAAUAGAUUGAUUGAUUCAACAUUAAAAAUUAGAGUAAAUUUGUAUUCCAGUUUGAAAUUUUUAGUAUUGGAAUUACAGUUUUUUAUGUAAUUUUUAUACAAAUUAACUGUAAUGAAAGAAUUGUUCUGAAACAGAAUAAGAAUACCUGUGUAAGAUCUUACCUGAGUUUACAAAAGUUGUUUCAUACUCUGUCAAAAUACUUUGUUUCAUAUUCUGAAUUUGUUUUGAGUGAAUACUUCUUUCUCCUUCUGACAAUUCAAUUGUGAUACCUGCAAAAUAAAAAUCAUUAUGAAGGAAGUCAAGAUAGAUACUGUAUUUUCAGUUAUUGUUACAUGUAUUUUUAUUACUUCUUCUCUGUAACUAGUUUUAAUGUUAAUAUUUUAGAUUUUAAAAAGUACCCAGUUGAAAGUAUAUAGUUCAGAUCAUCUAGAUGUUUGUCAUUUUUUUAAAAAAUACAUUGAACUACAUAAUUUUUUGUUUCUUACCUGAGCUCAACAUAGCUGUGUUAAUUUCUGUCAGAUUUGAUUGACUUAUAAUCUCUGUAUCCAUUUCUGUCAGAGCUUUGAAGUGCUUUUUUAUAUCUGAUGGCAUUUUUUUAAAAAAUUUCAGACUCAUUUUAAUCUUCUUAUUUGUGAAUAAAAUUUGAAAUUAUCUUGUUCACCUGAUUCUUUUUCUUCUAUUUCCAUAGAACUCUUGCUUUGUUUCUCCUUUUGUAUGCCACCUGCAUAGAAAGAAUAAAUUAAUAUUGCAAAGAACUUUUGAAUUUCUAAACCAGCAAGUUCUGAAACAUAGAGUGUAUUUCCCAAUCUUUUUCAUAAGUCCAUUUAUAGUGAACAUAUAUUUGUAUUACAGAGAAAUUAUACUAUAAUUCCAGUAAACAUAAAUUGUAACUACUUAAAAAUCCAACUACAAUCAAUUUGAUACUUGAUUAUAGACACUGAAGUGAACAAAUGAAUCAAUUUGUAUAAUUCUUUCAAAAUAAUUUUAAUAUUACACUAAGUAUGUAUUUCAAUUACAGUGUAAUGCUACUAUAAUUCCAGUUAAAAUUUACUGUAACUCUUGUUUACCUAUAUUUUUUCCUUCUAUUUCCUUAGAACUUUUGCAUUCUUUGUCCUUUUGUAUGACACCUGUAAAGAAAUAUUCAAGAUAGUCUUUAAAUGUUUUUCAAACCUGUAUGAGUAUGUUCCAUAAGUAGUAUUACAGUAAAUAAGUAUUUCAAUUAGAGUGUAAUGCUACUGUAAUUCCAGUUAAAAUUUACUUAUGGAACAAACUAUCUGAUGGCACUUUUUCUUAUAAUAUCUGAUGGCACCUUUUCUUUUCUAUUUCUUUCUAUUUCAAUUAGAUAUGAUUUGUUUUGGUUUUUACAUAUGUACUACUUUUGAAGUAUUUGAUACCCUGUUUUUUGCUCGAAAAAUCUGAAAUCAUCUUGAAAUUGAGAUUAAACUGCAUUAGAUCAUGAUUUCAUAUGAAUUUUACAUUGUUUCUUUGUAGUUACAUGUAUUUUCAAUUGAAAUUGUAGUGUUCACUCUAUAUAUUUGUAAUACAAGUUCACUGUAACUAGUUUCAUUAUAUUCUAUUUUGAGACAUUGAACAAAUCAACAAUGAUCUAUUAUCUGAAAUCUUCAUUUUGUUGUCUGAUGAUGAGAGAAACAUUGAACUGAGAUAGUCUUGAGUUUAAAACAUAUCUUGAAUGUGUUCCUGAAUUUGUGCAUGAUUGUGUGAGCUAAACUAUUUUGUUUACUGAACUAAUCUUUUUACAAUGAGUUAAUACUAGAAUUACUGUGAUUCUUAUAUGUAAUUUUAUUACUUUUUUACUGUAACAUGUUAAGAAAUUUGUGAGUUCAUAUGAAUUGGCUCUUUUGUUUGUGUUGUAUGAGAUAUUGAACUUUUAUGUAAUAUUGAGUUGGAUGAGACAAGUGGUUGACAUUGAGAUUUGAAUUUGUCAUUAGUUUAAUAUGGUGAUUAUGCUGAUAAAAUUGAAUGUAUGACAAUUCAGGAUAUGCUAUAUAGCCUAGUUGUUAUAUUUCUGUAUAACUGUAUAACUGUGAUAUCUUCGGAGUGAAAUUCAGUAAGGUUGGAAGACUAAUCAAUCUGUCAUGUUUUUUUUAUAAAUUUAGUUUGGUAUUCAUCAAUAGUACAUAGUAAUACAAUCAUCCAGAAUGCAGUUUUGUAGUACUGAAUGCAGUGUAGUUUUACUUUUAUCAUUACAUAGUUCAGAUCUACAUAGCAAACAUAUGAAAUUUUCAGUUCUGAGUUGUUGUAUUUAUCCAGCAAAGUGGAUUGUUAACCUUGUUUCAUUUGACAUAUUCAACAAUUUCAUGUAUUCUUUUGAAUUGUAUAUUUGACCUAAACUCUCUCUUUGAUCUUUUUCAGGAAUUGUAUAUAGGGGAUAAGAAUUGGAGCCUUGAACUAACCUUGAACUGGAGCCUUCUUGUUUCUCUUGAUUUUGCCUUCCUCUUGUUUUUUCUUUGUGUUCUCCAGAUUCUGUGUUUCCUUUGUAUGGAUCUCAACUUUCUGUUCAGAAGUUGUCUUUGAUUUCUUCUUUCCUCUAGAACUACUCUUUGAUUCUGACAUUGUACUCUCUCCUUCCAUCUGCGAUUUGGAUCCUCUUUUUCUCUCUUCUUUCUCUUCUCCUAGCUCCAUGUUUGAUUCGUGCUAGAUCUGUUUGUGAACUAGUAGUGCUGUUGAAAAGUAGGGGAUUGAAAAGUGUGGUCCCAUACAUGGUUGAUUCACGUGACAUGUUUUUCAUCUACUUGGCUUCCAAGUUUGGUCCCUACUACUUUUUUGGAUAGGCUGUUGGAUUAUGAUUUGGGCUUUAUUUCCUUGUGUUUUGCUUCUAAUUUUGUAUCUUGGGCCUGCUUUUUACUAAUGGGCUUUUAUGGAUCUGGAUAUGGACUUGGGCCUUCAAAUAAUUUGCAUGGGCGAAAAAAUCAUGGGCUUUGUUUAUUUGUGUUUGAUUCAAAUUUUGUAUUUUGGGCCUUCUUUUUACUAAUGGGCUUUUAUGGAUCUGGAUAUGGAUUUGGGCUUUUAUGGAUCUGGAUCUGGAUUUGGGCUUUAAAAAAAUGGCGUUCAAAUAAUCAAAUAAUAUAUCUGUUUUUAAGUGUAAUAUCUAUUUGUAUCACUUUUUCUGAGUUGUUGGAUGUGCAUCCUAUGGUAGAUAAAAUCUGCAUGAUUGGAGCUUCAGAAAUCAUUCGAUUCCUAUAUAGAUAGCCCCAAAAGAAAAAGGAAAGCUGACAGGUGGGCCCAUGAACAAUGCAUUUUCGUCUUUUCUAGAUUUAGUUCAAAUCCUAUUCUUUAGAAGCCCAUAUCUCCUAAACCGUAGAUCCGGUUCCAGUGAAACUUGGAUCUAAAUCCAGCUAAAUUCAAACCCUAUCUUUUGACCCCAAAUUUACUCUUUUAAUAUUUUAUUUGAAUUUAUUCAAAUACUAUUUGAAUUUAUGUUUGUCUUUUCAAAUAUUUCUUUUUAACCCAAAAUACCCUUUAGCCACUAAAAAGCCACCGGUUGGAACUUUACGCCUUUCAUGGGGACGUUCGCGGUUUACUAUCCCCGACGUCGGACCGUUGGUUGUAAAGCCCGGCAAAACCAAACCUAAGGUCGAAGUGCUCCUCCUGGCACCCGAAGCCUCGAUGCGUAUAGUGGUCGGAGCUUCACUAUUUCCUUGAUCUCCACAGCACGCCGCACAGUCAGCUCUUGGGCUCUGUGUGAUCCUAGCCUCUCCGCCGCCAGUCACGGUUGUCGGAGUAACACUUGCGCCCCACUAAACCCACACAAACCUCCUAUCCCUCUAGCUAUUAUGCUGUCUGUUGACACCGGGUAGAGAAGAUACCAAUUCUAGUCGUUAUACUGUUCAACUCUAGCAACGACUAGCAAACACCCAAACCCUAGCCGAUGCCUUCCUAAUUAAAUUCCAACCACCAUCCAAAUUCCAUACCCACCUAUCCACCAUACUAUUAGCUACCUACUCUUCUAGAACCUAUACAUAAAAUAUAGAACCUAGCCGAUAUGUUGCCCUACUCCACAAUCGGCUUAAAUAUAACCAAACCCUAGGUAUUAUACUACCCAAACCUACCACCAGCCAAUACUAGCCACAUACUCACUUAACCAGUUAUAUCCCUUACUCUCCAAGCAACCAAGACCCACACAUGAAAUAUAAAUGACAUGAGUUGCUUGAUCCCCUCUCCACCUCAACCUCCAACCCUCUAGAACCUCCACAUAAAAUAUUAACCCAAUAAUCCCUAUACCCUUUAAAGGAGAUAGAUUAUACCCUAAACCCUAUCCCUCUUAGACGUUUAUCGUUUUCUGGUUAUUUUAUGGCUUUUAUUGAAUUUGGCUCUUCCUCUUCUUCAGUAGAGUUUAUCUUAUUUUGGAUGGCAACCUGUGGCAUUUCAAGGAUCGGAUAAUCAGGUUGCCUACCUUGGAUUUAUUCGCGUUGGAGAAAGGCAAGUUAUUAUUCAUCCCCUUUGAGCAUAAAGAUCCUAUAUUCUUAUAUCUCUAUUCUAUGCAUUAGUCAUACAUGAUUUUGAAUGCAUAACCUGAACAUAGAAAACCAGAUAUGCUAGCUUUGCUUAGCCCUGCCUAGUUAGUUUGCAUAAAAAUAUAAUGAACUUAGAUUGGGACAGUACGUAGGAAUUGGUUGAUUUCUGGGUGGCUAGUACUGUCUCAGUCGAUAUAGUUAUUACCAAGUACUUAUGUCAAACGAACGAGUACGGCCGCAAUACUAGAAUGGGGACAGACCUUGCAAAGUAAGUUAUCUAGCAAAGGUGGUACCUCUGUACAGUGGUUCUUAUUUAAGUCCUCGUGCAAGAGGCAAACUUAUGCCGAGAAGGGCAUAUGCCGAGAAGGGCAAAUAUAACAUUUACUGAGGCGCAGGUAAAUGAUUUGUUGAGUUAAGUGUGUGUAUAUUGUGAAAACCUGGUUGAGAUGACGGGGGUCUCUCAAACCAGUUCCCUCUCUAAAAACCUCGGGAACGCCAGAACUCCUCUCGCUGCUGAUAAAAUUACGUUCAGAGCGCAUGAGGAUGAGAGUUCAUGGAACAGGUGCCACUGAUGCUAGUAACCGAAAAGCUUUGCCAUGACUAAGCUAAUGAAUAUUGACAUGUCAUGGAUUGCGGGUAAAGCGUACAUUUACUGCAGUAAAGUAAACCUGAAUCUAUUCGAAUAGCCGUGCUCACGGAAUUGAGUAUCGGGACUCAUAUGGUACUUUGGUUAGAAACCUAAUUCAAGAUUUUACUAAAUGCUGCUGCAUUUAAAACAUCAGGCUUUCUAUUUCUAUAUUCUCUGCCUUCUGCAGGUAAUCGUAAUCCUACUCAAAUAUUACCUUUUCAUACAUUCAUUAUUGAAUAUAAUAGCUUGCUGACCCUUGCUUCAAACCCCUUUUUCCAGAAUUAAAUUGAAGUUCUUGCCGAAGCCAGGAGUUCAAUCAUAUAAGUUAGUCUUAUUUUAACCUAGUUCUCAAAUCUAGAUUAGUUAGAUGGUUUAAGUCAAUAGCAAAAUAUUAGGGUUGAGUCACUCUAUAGCUUCUACUGUAAUAGUUAGCCACAAUCUUUUAAAUUCCCCUAUUAAUUUAUGUAAUAACAACUCCUUUGGAGCCUUGUUCAAAUGUACGCAAUGAAGAUCCAGAUUGUUGAAGCUGUAUCAAUCUACUGAUCCAGGGCUUGAUACAGUUAAACAUGUCGGUUUCCGAAUCAUUAGUUUUGGGAUCCGACAGCAGCCGGUCUGACCGAUCGCCGGUCUGACCGCGGGAUCCACUACGGUCUGACCGGUUUCCUCGAGGGAAAACCAGAUUUUUGCCACUUUGAUUUUGCAAAAAACAAUCUCUCUCUCCUUUUUCUGUUUAUGAGCUAAUCUGAAACAAAAACCAACAAUAUGUCCAUCUUUGCCACAAAAAGAACAAGUAUAUUUUUCACGAUGAUUAGACACAUUAUUAGAAUUAGAAGACUUAGCAACAUAAGCAGUAACAAGAGGUUUUGCAUGCACAACAUUGGAUUUUGAAGAAGAUGCACUCAAGGUAGACAUAAUACUAGCAGAUUUAAACACAAUUUUAUUAGUAUCAGGUUUAACCAAAAUCUCACCACCUCUAGCACCAGCACCUAACACAACAGGAGGAUGUCUAGAAUUAUGAGCAUAAGGAUUAAAACCUAAACCACGAUUAUUUGUGCUAACCUUAGAUUGAUCUAAAAUCAUGUUGAGGUUCUUUUUACCAUCAGAAAAUCUUAGCAAAGAAUUUUUCAAAUAAGAAACCUCCAUUUCCAAAUUAGCACAAUUUUCACUAUCUACCAUAACACCUUUGCUUUUACGACAUCUGGGGCAAGAAAACACUUCAUUGUUUUUUACAACAUCUUCCAUGUACUCAACACGAUCUAAAGCAUCUUUCAAUUUCAUCUUAUUCAAAUUACUUGUUGAGCAAUCAAAAACAUCAUGAGGUUGUUUUAACUUUUUAGCAGAAAUCAUGUUAAACAUCAAACUAGCAUGAAAAGCAAUUUGAUAUUUUUGCAACAACUUUUUAGUUAAAAACAACUCAUCCAAAGUGCGUGUGUGCAAAGCAAAACUACAAGCAAGAGAAGAUCUAUUUUUCAAAUCAUGUGCAGCAUUAACAUCUCUAAUUUUUGAAAUCUCAUUCAUUAAAACCUCACAAUUUGAGCAAUCAUCAUCAUUAGGAAUAAGAGAUUUUAACCUAUCAAUUUCAGAUUUAAGAGAUUCAAUGAUAAAUUCCUGUUUUCUAUACAUCUUCUUACACUUCUUAUUUUUUACACUCAAAAUAUUAAUAGCUUCCUCAAAAGCACUUACCUCAUUAUCUUCAUACUCUGUAUCCGAUUCACCACGCGCCAUGAAGCAAACACCGGAGAUGUUCUUUCCCUUGUCAUCAUCUCCACUCUUACCAUCUACAUCACUUAGUGGCUCGAAGGCGGCGCAAACUUGUUGAAAAGCCUUCCUGAGAUUCUCCAGCUUCCUCCCUAGGGAUGAACCCUUCGACUUGUUGUUGUUGGUCUUCUCACCAUCUUUGUCUUCUCUUUUGCCUCUCCCAAGCUUAGGACAAUGCGAACGAAGAUGAUCAAUUGAAUCACAUUAAAAGCAACGAUUUGGACCACCUCUUUUCCUGUUCCUGGCAUUAUUCAUAGCUCGAGCAAUUCUGUUAGCAACCAAAGCCAAAUCCUCCUCCUCGAUCUGUUCGAGUUGAUCAUCGGAUGUGGCAUUAAAAAUAGCUAGAAAAGAAGGCUUAGAUGAAGAAGCAUCAACAUCCAAAGAAGAAGAAGAAGAAACCAAAGCACUCGACUUAGAAUCAACUUUUUGUGAAAGAACAUUCAUCUCAUGUGUUUUCAAUUUUGUGUAAAGUGAAUCCAAAGUCAAAGUAGACAUAUCAACCGACUCCUGAAUAGAUGUAACUUUCAUCUCCCAAAUAGACAUGUCAAGACAAUUCAAAAAGUGACGAGAAAUCUCAGAUUGUGGAUAAUUAGCAUCAUAAGAAGAAUCAACAGAUCUAAGAUCACUCAAAAUUUUAUUAAACGUAGAAAGAUAGUCAUCCAAAGUUUCUCCAGGUUUUAUCUCAAAUUUAAUGUACUCCUUUUUGAAAAUAUCACGACGAAGUUCUUUAAUGUUAUUUGUUCCUUGAUGAAAGUUACUCAAAGCAUUCCAAAUUUCAUAUGCAGUUCGAAAAUGCGCAAUACGAUCAUAAUCCGAACGAGAAAUACCACUCAAAAGAAUGUUGCGAGCUUUGCAAUUUUGUUCAAAAGCAGUUUUUUCAGUAGCAAUAUUAAUGGAAUCAAAUAAGGAUGAGAAACUUUUCUCCAAAUAUCAUAAUCUUCAGCCAUAAUGUAAGAUUGCAUCCUACUACACCAAUGAGAAAAAUCUGUUCCAUCGAAAACAUGAGGCUUAGUUGAAAACCUAACAGGAGUAGCCAUGGCAAAAACUCUAGAUCGAUAAAAAUCCAAAGAAGAAAACAAGGCUCUGAUACCACUUGUAAGAUCGAAUCACAUUAACUAAGCCAACCAGAGGGGGGGGGGGGUGAAUGGUUGGUAUACCCAAAAACCGAAAACUUUUAGCGGAAAUAAAAGUUACCCUCGAAAUUGACGGAAGUCGGUCUGACCGAGAUUGAUCUAUCGGUCUGACCGAGUAGAUGCCGCCAGUCUGACCGGUGUUGAAUCUCUAGUCUGACCGCCGAAGUCGCCUGCCGCGCCUGUCGCCGCCGCCGGUCUGACCGCCGUGCUCCUGCCGGUCUGACCGCCGCUUGCCGCCGGUCUGACCGCCGGUAUAUCGCCGGUUAGACCGCCGAAACCCGGUGAAACAGAAAUCAAAGAACUCUUAAAGUAGAUGACGACUUUAUUGAUUCUCUCUAUGUUUACAAAGUGCACCAACAACACUCCUUACAAAAAUUUCGACUAAACUCGAAACCCUAACUCAAAACUCAACUCAAUUGCUCUAAAAAGCGAUACUGGGAAGCCUCACGCUCCCCCUCUAUUUAUACCCGAGGUAGGCAGCCUAAAGCCACGAACCAAACUCAUACUAGGAGUCCUAAACACCUUAGGAAACCCUCUAGUACAAGAAACAAACUUUACAUAACCAAUCAUACCAAAUUUGGACUCCUUCCAAAUUCGAC